rnacentral:tRNA from 1 species
GCCUUCGUGGUGUAGUUGUCAGCACUCUCGACGUUUAACCGAGUAGUCCGUAGUUCGAUUCCCGGCAAAGGCG